rnacentral:lncRNA from 1 species
CUGCCGUUAGCCAAUCACAGGCCUGAAUCAAUUCGAUUUCCCCAGAGCUAUGCCUACCCUUAACCUGCGAACGGGCAUGCUCGGGGAACAAGAUAGUACUUUUUUGCUGUUUUAUGCCCACUUAUGAAAAAUGGAAAAAGUCGCUAAAAAUGGACGAAAAGUAAAGGGUAUAGCCUUACUUUUUGGCUGUUUUUUGCCCACUUAUGAAAAAUGAAAAGUCGCUAAAAAUGGACGAAGGCUAUAGCCUUACUUUUUUUGCUGUUUUUUACCCACUUAUGAAAAAUGAAAAAAGUCGCUAAAUCCUUUUCAAUUGCUUUUUUGCUGUUUUUGUCCCUUUACGAAAAAAAGUCGUUAAAAUCGACGAAAACUUAAGGCAAUAACCUUACUUAUUUGCUGUUUUCUGCCCAGUUAUGAAAAAGUCGUCUUAUCUGUUUCAAGCAUUGUAGUUGUUCGUUUUAAAGUUCGUUCUUCCGUUGAAGUGAUUUCUUCAAUUUCUUUCUUUUUUUUUUAGUUUUUCGUUUUAAAUCACUUUGUUCUUCUGUUGAAGUGAUUUCUUCAAUUUCUUUUUUUUUUUAGUUUUUUGUUUUAAAUCACUUUGUUCUUCUGUUGAAGUGAUUUCAUUAAUUUCUUUCUUUUUUUUUUCAAAAGCUAGCGAUGAAAAAUUGUCAAUCAAAAUAGCCUUGCUUUUUUGUUUUUUUUUGUUGCUUUACGUCAAAAUGGACAAAAAGUAAACAUUGAGACACAUUUUCUCAUCAAAACAAUCACUUUCAAUUGAUAAAAACACGUUUUAAAACAUUUUGCAAAGCGGGCAACCACAGGCAAGUGGCAAUCUGUGCUCAACAAAGGGAGAGCACAGGAAUUUUUUAAAUAAAAAGGCCCGGAACUAUUAUUCCAAACUUUCUGAAAAUUGUCGAUAAGCAUUUAUUUCUCUCAUCAAAACAAUUACUUUCAACUGAUAAAAAAUGCUCACUGACAUAGGGCUUUGCAUUUAUUGGCUUAGAUUGGAUGAAUUCCCCAAGGGAUAACAUAUUAUUCAGAAUUUAAAAUUUUCAUGCCACAUUGCCUGGAAGGCGUUUUAUAAACUAACCUUAUUUAAAUGAUUCAAGACAGCGACUGUAGAUGAUUCUGUUUGGUAUAAAAUAAUCUUUCUUUUCCUGUCAUGUAAUCCGGUUCAACAUUGAGGACUGCUCACUGAUGCAAAUUCUCUUGGAACAAAAUAUCUAAACAAUGAAAGAUAUUAAUCUAGUUAUUUGCACAUAUCAACUGACAACAUAUCUUAUCUAACUG